rnacentral:rRNA from 1 species
UACGGGGGGGGCAAGCGUUGUUCGGAAUUACUGGGCGUAAAGGGCUCGUAGGCGGCCAACUAAGUCGGACGUGAAAUCCCCAGGCUCAACCUGGGAACUGCAUCCGAUACUGGAUGGCUUGAAUUUGGGAGAGGGAUGCAGAAUUCCAGGUGUAGCGGUGAAAUGCGUAGAUAUCUGGAGGAACACCGGUGGCGAAGGCGGCAUCCUGGACCGGCAUUGACGCUGAGGCGCGAAAGCUAGGGGAGCAAACGGG